rnacentral:rRNA from 1 species
GACGAACGCUGGUUUCGUGCUUAACACAUGCAAGUCGAACGGAAAGGCCCUGCUUUUGUGGGGUGCUCGAGUGGCGAACGGGUGAGUAACACGUGAGUAACCUGCCCUUGACUUUGGGAUAACUUCAGGAAACUGGGGCUAAUACCGGAUAGGAGCUCCUGCUGCAUGGUGGGGGUUGGAAAGUUUCGGCGGUUGGGGAUGGACUCGCGGCUUAUCAGCUUGUUGGUGGGGUAGUGGCUUACCAAGGCUUUGACGGGUAGCCGGCCUGAGAGGGUGACCGGCCACAUUGGGACUGAGAUACGGCCCAGACUCCUACGGGAGGCAGCAGUGGGGAAUAUUGCACAAUGGGCGGAAGCCUGAUGCAGCAACGCCGCGUGCGGGAUGACGGCCUUCGGGUUGUAAACCGCUUUCGCCUGUGACGAAGCGUGAGUGACGGUAAUGGGUAAAGAAGCACCGGCUAACUACGUGCCAGCAGCCGCGGUGAUACGUAGGGUGCGAGCGUUGUCCGGAUUUAUUGGGCGUAAAGGGCUCGUAGGUGGUUGAUCGCGUCGGAAGUGUAAUCUUGGGGCUUAACCCUGAGCGUGCUUUCGAUACGGGUUGACUUGAGGAAGGUAGGGGAGAAUGGAAUUCCUGGUGGAGCGGUGGAAUGCGCAGAUAUCAGGAGGAACACCAGUGGCGAAGGCGGUUCUCUGGGCCUUUCCUGACGCUGAGGAGCGAAAGCGUGGGGAGCGAACAGGCUUAGAUACCCUGGUAGUCCACGCUGUAAACGGUGGGUACUAGGUGUGGGGUCCAUUCCACGGGUUCCGUGCCGUAGCUAACGCUUUAAGUACCCCGCCUGGGGAGUACGGCCGCAAGGCUAAAACUCAAAGGAAUUGACGGGGCCCCGCACAAGCGGCGGAGCAUGCGGAUUAAUUCGAUGCAACGCGUAGAACCUUACCUGGGUUUGACAUGGAUCGGGAGCGCUCAGAGAUGGGUGUGCCUCUUUUGGGGUCGGUUCACAGGUGGUGCAUGGCUGUCGUCAGCUCGUGUCGUGAGAUGUUGGGUUAAGUCCCGCAACGAGCGCAACCCUUGUUCACUGUUGCCAGCACGUUAUGGUGGGGACUCAGUGGAGACCGCCGGGGUCAACUCGGAGGAAGGUGGGGAUGACGUCAAGUCAUCAUGCCCCUUAUGUCCAGGGCUUCACGCAUGCUACAAUGGCCGGUACAGAGAGUGGCGAGCCUGUGAGGGUGAGCGAAUCUCGGAAAGCCGGUCUCAGUUCGGAUUGGGGUCUGCAACUCGACCUCAUGAAGUCGGAGUCGCUAGUAAUCGCAGAUCAGCAACGCUGCGGUGAAUACGUUCCCGGGGCU